rnacentral:rRNA from 1 species
UACGUUCUCGGGUCUUGUACACACCGCCCGUCAAACCAUGAAAGUCGGGGGGCACCCGAAGUGUCACAUUAGCUGAUCCUAAGGUGAACUCGAUGAUUGGGGUU